AAUCCUGAGACCCAAGAUGAAACCAGUUCCCACCUCAGACCAGGAAAAGGCUUCAGGCUUUGAUGAUAAUCACACCUGCACACCUCCGCAGGGCCGAGGCGGCACAGCACCCAGGCAAAGAAGAUGUGCGAGUCAGCAUAUGGACUUAAAGGAGGCUGAAAGAGCGGGGAAACGGCAAGCCCAUGCAGCCUUGGACUGUUUUACUCUGAACAGGAAGAACCUGAUAAGGAAAGAAACGUGGAAGAGAAUGCCCAGAUUCCAGUGAAACUAGGGCCCGACCUUUACCAGCUCAUGGACUCUCCCCUUCCUCAGUCUCUAUUCCAGGACAGGCAUGCCUCUGCUCUUUGUCCUGGGCUGUAUCUUCUUCCCGCUGAGCUUUGCUGUCCUCUGCUGGGCUCUGCAGAACCAUUCCAACCUGCGGAUGGAGAAACAAGAGGCUGUUUUGGUGGCAUCCAAGUAAGAGGACAGGGCGAGGACAUCCUUCCUGGGGCCAGGGCUGGGGAAGCUGGUCUCCUACUUCCAGGAAGAGUUAGUGAUGAGAGCAGAAGCAGGCUGUGUGUGUAUGUGAGGGUGGCUGGGUGGGCGUAUAGAAUCGAAAGACACUCUCUAUGGGAUCUCUGGUUUCCCAGGUGGUUCAGUGGUAAAGAAUCCGCCUGCCAAUUCAGGAGAUGCAGGAGACUCGGGUUCCAACCUCGGGUCAGGAUAUCUCCUGGAGAAGGGAAUGGCAUCCCACUCCAGUAUUCUUGCUAGGAUAAUCCCAUGGACAGAGGAGCCUGGCGGGCUACGGUCCAUGGGGUCACAAAGGAGUCUGACACAACUUAUCCACUAAAUAGCAACAACAAUGGGAUCUCUUGCAAGCCACUUAACCUCUCUGAACUUCAGAGUCCCCAUUAGUAAAUGGAUUUAACAAGAAUACUCACCUUCCAUUCUUCAUGGAAUGUUGUGCGAGGGUAAGGUGAAUUCACAUCUAUAGAAUAGGGCUAGGGAAUUCCCUGGCAGUCCAGUGAUUAGGCUUCAGUGCUCUCAUUGCCAGGGGCCUGGGUUCCAUCCCCAGUCAGAGAACUGAGAUCUCAUAAGCUGAGCCACCUGGGAAGCCCUGCAUGGCCAAAAUAAAAUAAAAAUAAAAAUAGUUGUUGCA
ensembl:lncRNA